UGCGGAAGGAUCAUUGAAUCAGAUAAACCCCACUCGUGAACUAUAGCAAGUGCUUGUCACUUGCCGACCAGGGCCAAGUUACUUUGAAGUGGUAAGGAGUAUGCUUGCAUGCUCCCGAAACUUGUGAGUGCUUGGUCUUGCAAUCCAAUCAUCCUUGGAUGGUUGUUUUGCGCCCUUUUCAACCAAACACCCAACCUUGUUCAUCUGAAGUGAUGCAAUUGGCAUUGCCGAUUGUUUAACCUCAAACAACUCUCAACAACGGAUAUCUUGGCUCUCGCAACGAUGAAGAACGCAGCGAAAUGCGAUACGUAGUGUGAAUUGCAGAAUUCCGUGAAUCAUCGAAUCUUUGAACGCAUAUUGCGCUCGAGGCUUCGGCCAAGAGCAUGUCUGCCUCAGCGUCGGCAUAACCCCUCACUCCCACAACAUGUGUGAGUGGAUCUGGCAGUCUUAGCAGCAUUAGUUGCUAGGUCUGCUGAAACAAAGAGGCUUGAACAUGGACCCAAUAAGGGUAACAACUAGGUAGGCAUGUCUUCGGACUGCAUUCAUCUUAGUUGGUGCCUGGGACGUGUUGGAGGCCAUGCAGGAUCCAACCUCGUGUUGGAAUACUCACUUUUCGACCUGAGCUCAGGCAAGGCUACCCGCUGAACUUAAGCAUAUCA
rnacentral:rRNA from 1 species